rnacentral:rRNA from 1 species
UACGAAGGGGGCUAGCGUUGUUCGGAAUUACUGGGCGUAAAGCGCGCGCAGGCGGCAUGGCAAGUAAGGUGUGAAAUCUCCCUGCCUAACGGGGAGGGUGCACUUUAGACUGCCAAGCUAGUGGACGGUAGAGGGGGGUAGAAUUGCUGGUGUAGCGGUGAAAUGCGUAGAGAUCAGCAGGAAUACCCGUGGCGAAGGCGGCCCCCUGGGCCGAACCUGACGCUGAGGCGCGAAGGCUAGGGGAGCGAACGGG